rnacentral:rRNA from 1 species
GACGAACGCUGGCGGCGUGCCUAAUACAUGCCAGUUGAGCGAUGAAGAUUGGUGCUUGCACCAAUUUGAAGAGCAGCGAACGGGUGAGUAACGCGUGGGGAAUCUGCCUUUGAGCGGGGGACAACAUUUGGAAACGAAUGCUAAUACCGCAUAACAACUUUAAACAUAAGUUUUAAGUUUGAAAGAUGCAAUUGCAUCACUCAAAGAUGAUCCCGCGUUGUAUUAGCUAGUUGGUGAGGUAAAGGCUCACCAAGGCGAUGAUACAUAGCCGACCUGAGAGGGUGAUCGGCCACAUUGGGACUGAGACACGGCCCAAACUCCUACGGGAGGCAGCAGUAGGGAAUCUUCGGCAAUGGACGAAAGUCUGACCGAGCAACGCCGCGUGAGUGAAGAAGGUUUUCGGAUCGUAAAACUCUAUUGGUAGAGAAGAACGUUGGUGAGAGUGGAAAGCUCAUCAAGUGACGGUAACUACCCAGAAAGGGACGGCUAACUACGUG